rnacentral:rRNA from 1 species
UACGAACGGCCCGAGCGUUGCGCGGAAUCAUUGGGCUUAAAGCGUACGUAGGCGGACGCGCAGGCGUUUUGUGAAAUCCCUCGGCUCAACCGAGGAAUUGCUUGAUGAACCGCGCGUCUUGAGGCAAGUAGGGGCUGUCGGAACGAUAGAUGGAGUGGUGAAAUGCGUUGAUAUCUAUCGGAACGCCAAAGGAGAAAUCAGGCAGCUGGGCUUGUCCUGACGCUGAGGUACGAAAGCGUGGGGAGCGAACGGGAUUAGAUACCCGCGUA